rnacentral:rRNA from 1 species
CACGCCGUAAACGAUGAGUGCUAGGUGUCGGGGGUCAAACCUCGGUGCCGCAGUUAACACAUUAAGCACUCCGCCUGGGGAGUACGUACGCAAGUAUGAAACUCAAAGGAAUUGACGGGGACCCGCACAAGCAGCGGAGCAUGUGGUUUAAUUCGAUGCAACGCGAAGAACCUUACCAGGACUUGACAUCCCUCUGGCCGCUCUAGAGAUAGAGCUUUCUCUUCGGAGACAGAGGUGACAGGUGG